rnacentral:rRNA from 1 species
AUUGAACGCUGGCGGCAUACCUAACACAUGCAAGUCGAACGGCUGCAGGGAGCUUGGCCCUGGAUUGAGCGGCGGACGGGGGUGUGAUACCUAUGAGUAUGCCUGCUGGUGGGGGGGAUAGCCCGGAGACAGCCGCUAAUAUACCGCACACGCUGUACGGGAGAGAGCGGGGGACUCGGACCCCUCGCUCUAAGAUGAUGCUAGGUGGGAUUAGCUAGUUGGUGGGGUAAAGGCCUACCAAGGCGACGAUCAGUAACUGGUCUGAGAGGAUGAUCAGUCACACUGGAACUGAGACACGGUCCAGACUCCUACGGGAGGCAGCAGUGGGGAAUAUUGGACAAUGGGCGAAAGCCUGAUCCAGCCAUGCCGCGUGUGUGAAGAAGGUCUUCGGGUUGUAAAGCACUUUUAGUUGGGAGGAAGGGCAUUAAGUUAAUACCUUCCUGUGAUGACGUUACCGGAAGAAUAAGCACCGGCUAACUACGUG